rnacentral:rRNA from 3 species
UAUACCGUGAAACUGCGAAUGGCUCAUUAAAUCAGUUAUCGUUUAUUUGAUAGUACCUUACUACUUGGAUACCUGUGGUAAUUCUAGAGCUAAUACAUGCUAAAAACCCCGACUUCGGAAGGGGUGUAUUUAUUAGAUAAAAAACCAAUGCCCUUCGGGGCUCCUUGGUGAUUCAUAAUAACUUCUCAGAUCGCAUGGCCUUGCGCCGGCGACGGUUCAUUCAAAUUUCUGCCCUAUCAACUUUCGAUGGUAAGGUAUUGGCUUACCAUGGUGGCAACGGGUAACGGGGAAUUAGGGUUCGAUUCCGGAGAGUUAGCCUGAGAAACGGCUAACACAUCCAAGGAAGGCAGCAGGCGCGCAAAUUACCCAAUCCCGAUACGGGGAGGUAGUGACAAUAAAUACUGAUACAGGGCUCUUUUGGGUCUUGUAAUUGGAAUGAGUACAAUUUAAACCUCUUAACGAGGAACAAUUGGAGGGCAAGUCUGGUGCCAGCAGCCGCGGUAAUUCCAGCUCCAAUAGCGUAUAUUAAAGUUGUUGCAGUUAAAAAGCUCGUAGUUGAACCUUUGGCCUGGCUGGCAGGUCCGCCUCACCGCGUGCACUUGUCCGGCCGGGCCUUUUCUUCUGGAGAACCGCAUGCCCUUCACUGGGUGUGUUGGGGACCAGGACUUUUACUUUGAAAAAAUUAGAGUGUUCAAAGCAGGCCUUUGCUCGAAUAUUACAGCAUGGAAUAAUAGAAUAGGACGUGCGGUUCUAUUUUGUUGGUUUCUAGGACCGCCGUAAUGAUUAAUAGGGACAGUCGGGGGCAUCAGUAUUCAAUUGUCAGAGGUGAAAUUCUUGGAUUUAUUGAAGACUAACUACUGCGAAAGCAUUUGCCAAGGAUGUUUUCAUUAAUCAGUGAACGAAAGUUAGGGGAUCGAAGACGAUCAGAUACCGUCGUAGUCUUAACCAUAAACUAUGCCGACUAGGGAUCGGGCGGUGUUACUAUUUUGACUCGCUCGGCACCUUACGAGAAAUCAAAGUGUU